GAUGAACGCUAGCGAUAGGCUUAACACAUGCAAGUCGAGGGGCAUCACAAGGAGCAAUCUGAGGUGGCGACCGGCGCACGGGUGAGUAACACGUAUGCAACCUGCCCAUAACUUGGGGAUAGCCCGGAGAAAUUCGGAUUAAUACCCAAUGAAACAAGGAUACCGCCUGGUAUUUUUAGUUAAAGAUUUAUUGGUUAUGGAUGGGCAUGCGUUCCAUUAGGUAGUUGGCAGGGUAACGGCCUACCAAGCCAUCGAUGGAUAGGGGUUCUGAGAGGAAGGUCCCCCACACUGGUACUGAGACACGGACCAGACUCCUACGGGAGGCAGCAGUGAGGAAUAUUGGUCAAUGGACGAGAGUCUGAACCAGCCAAAUCGCGUGAAGGACGACGGUAUUAUGUAUCGCAAACUUCUUUUGUGCAGGAAUAAAAGUAGGGACGUGUCCUUAUUUGUAUGUACUGUACGAAUAAGCAUCGGCUAACUCCGUGCCAGCCGCCGCGGUAAUAC
rnacentral:rRNA from 1 species